GGGCCUUGGUCUAGGCGUUCCUAUGAUCCCAGGAUGAUGCAGAACUUAUUCUAUACUACAUGCCUCAGACGGUUUGAACGUUCUCAGUUGGCAUUCAAUAAGUAUCUACUAGGCACCAAGCACUAGGCUGGAUUCUGAAGAUUGGAGAUAAUUGAGACAUGAACCCCAAACCUUGAGGAGCUGAGAAACAGGUGUACAAAUGGACACAUGUUUUCUGUUUGCCGGUCAACCACUUCCCCAGCUCAGCUCCUGUGCCGUGUCACAUGCAGAGAACACGGACAAGAGAUUUCCAGCUUCUCUGGGAAAUUCAGAAGAUCUCUCAAAACACAGCCCAUAUGGCAUGGGUAGGAAUGGUGAGUAGGAGAGGGGCGGCUGCUAUCCCCAGGCCUGCUCUCCUGGCCCAGGACUUUCCCCACUGCAUACAAUGCAUGUGCGUGCAUUCACAGCUCACCUGUUUUAUGGAGAGCCUGACCCAGUGACCAGCUGACACUCAGGGACAGGAAGGCUGAGGGGUGAUUUUGCUACCCUCUAAUGGGCUUUCAUGGAGAAGCCAUGGCAGGGAGCAGGAAUUCCUGACUCCUUCAAGGGCUCUUCUAGCUGCACUAAGAAUCAAAUUACCAUGAGACAGAUUAACAGGAGAAAAUCAAAUUUAAUAGCGGACAUACAGGGAAUCCACACAGACGUGGAAAUUUCCAAGACGGUCAGGCAAAAUGGGGUAUAUGUGUCAUUUUGAGCUAAGGAGAAGGGGGUAGGGGUCUGGGACUUCAGAGGGAAGGAAUAUGAGAAGAAGAACAGAUAUUUGAUGAUUGGCUGUUUGCCUGGCUAUACAGAUGGCCACUCAGAUAAAAUUUAUCUCUGCUAAUAACCCUUAUUCUGGAAAGACCCUCCAGUGUAGAUUCUUCUAUGUAGUUAAGGGAAAAACAAAAGUUUCUCUUGAGCUUUAGGGUCUCACUUGCCUUCAGCUCAAAAUAAUCUACAUGCCAAAGUAGCCCAUUCUGGGGUGUGGGGAAACUGUCCCAAACCCUUUCAGCUCCAUCUGUUUAAGGAAAAUGGGCUUACAGCAAAGAAUGGGAAUGGGUAACUGGGGACAAUGAGUGUUUCCAAUUUCUUGGAAAUACUCUGAGAAGGAUGGAGUGCUAUUUUUGUCUCAGUGGUUUAAACAUUUGGUGGCCUUGAGGUAAGAAGCUAAACCACAUGAUAAAGAAGAGGUCGUAUGUGUGUAUAUAUAGAGACCAUACACACACACACACAAAGAUAUAUACAUAGAUAUACACAAUGGAAUACUACACGGCCAUAAAAAAGAAUGAAAUCUUGCCAAUGGCAGCAACAUGGAGGGUAUAAGGCUAAGUGAAAUAAGUCAGACAAAGACUUAUAUGAUUAUAAGACAAAUAUGUCUUAUAUGAUUAUAAGACAAAUAUGUCUUAUAUGAUUAUAAGACAAAUAUGUCUUAUAUGAUUAUAAGACAAAUAUGUCUUAUAU
rnacentral:lncRNA from 1 species